CUUAGUGGCGGACGGGUGAGUAACGCGUGAGCAAUCUGCCUUUCAGGGGGGGGAUAACGAUUGGAAACGAUCGCUAAUACCGCAUAACGUAUUUGGAUGGCAUCUUCUGAAUACCAAAGGAGCAAUCCGCUGAAAGAUGAGCUCGCGUCUGAUUAGAUAGUUGGUGAGGUAACGGCCCACCAAGUCGACGAUCAGUAGCCGGACUGAGAGGUUGAACGGCCACAUUGGGACUGAGACACGGCCCAGACUCCUACGGGAGGCAGCAGUGGGGAAUAUUGCGCAAUGGAGGAAACUCUGACGCAGUGACGCCGCGUAUAGGAAGAAGGUUUUCGGAUUGUAAACUAUUUUAGACAGGGAAGAAAAUGACAGUACCUGUAGAAUAAGCUCCGGCUAACUACGUGCCAGCAGCCGCGGUAAUACGUAGGGAGCAAGCGUUAUCCGGAUUUAUUGGGUGUAAAGGGUGCGUAGACGGGAAAGCAAGUUAGUUGUGAAAGCCCUCGGCUUAACUGAGGAACUGCAACUAAAACUAUUUUUCUUGAGUGCAGGAGAGGAAAGCGGAAUUCCUAGUGUAGCGGUGAAAUGCGUAGAUAUUAGAAAGAACACCAGUGGCGAAAGCGGUUUGCUGGGCUAUUACUGACGCUGAGACACGAAAGCGUGGGGAGCAAAUAGGAUUAGAUACCCUAGUAGUCCACGCUGUAAACGAUGAGUACUAAGUGUCGGGAAACCGGUGCUGAAGUUAACACAUUAAGUACUCCGCCUGAGUAGUACGGUCGCAAGGCUGAAACUUAAAGGAAUUGACGGGCACCCGCACAAGCGGUGGAGCAUGCUGUUUAAUUCGAAGAUACGCGAAGAACCUUACCUAGGUUUGGAUCCCGGGCAAAGCUAUAGAGAUAUAGUGGAGGUUACCCCGGUGACAGGUGGUGCAUGGUUGUCGUCAGCUCGUGUCGUGAGAUGUUCGGUUAAGUCCGAUAACGAGCGCAACCCUUAUCUUUAGUUGCUAACAUUUAGGUGAGAACUCUUAAGAUACUGCCAGUGUAAGCUGGAGGAAGGUGGGGAUGACGUCAAAUCAUCAUGCCUCUUACAUCUAGGGCUACAGGCGUGCUACAAUGGCCGAUACAACGAGUCGCAACACGGCGACGUGAAGCUAAUCUCUUAAAGUCGGUCCCAGUUCGGAUUGGAGUCAGCAACUCGACUCCAUGAAGUUGGAAUCGCUAGUAAUCCCGAAUCAGAAUGUCGGGGUGAAUACGUUCCCGGG
rnacentral:rRNA from 1 species